rnacentral:misc_RNA from 1 species
GUAGGUGAACCUGCGGAAGGAUCACUAUGAAGUGGGGGGCGGUCGGCGCGGAGCGGGGCGCGCGGGGUGCGCCAGCAAUGGAGCACUGCGCCGCUGCCGUCUGCGCCGCCGCCUACAUGUGCACGGGGUGCUGCUCUGUUCUCUGAUCUGAUUCGGUCUGGUCUGGUCUGAUUCGAUUUGAUUCAAUCUGGUCUGGUCUGGUCUGAUUCGGUCUGGUCGGGUCUGGUUGGGGGGAGAGAGGGCCCUGAUGUUUACGCUUGCAUGUUUGACAGAGUACAAUGGUACACGAAUUAUGACAACUUUUAACAAUGGAUCUCUUGGCUCUU